AUAGGCGGAGGUAGCGGGAAUGGAGCCGGUUCUGGUGGCUACAUAGGCGGAGGUGCCGGGAAUGGAGCCGGUUCUGGUGGCUACAUAGGCGGAGGUGCCGGGAAUGGAGCCGGUUCUGGUGGCUACAUAGGCGGAGAUUCCGGGAAUGGAGCCGGUUCUGGUGGCUACAUAGGCGGAGGUGCCGGGAAUGGAGCCGGUUCUGGUGGCUACAUAGGCGGAGGAGCCGGGAAUGGAGCCGAUACUGGUGGCUACAUAGGCGGAGGUGCCGGGAAUGGAGCCGGGGCUGGUGGCUACAUAGGCGAAG
rnacentral:lncRNA from 1 species